rnacentral:lncRNA from 1 species
UGGGGAAAUCAAGGGUAAGCCCUAACGAGAAUAACAGAGUUGAUAUUAACGAUCGAGAAGACUUUCAAUAUUUGAAAGAUAUGAAAGUCCCUCCACAAUGGGAGCUGUGGAUGGAGCAAAGCUGGUACGACGUCGAACUUAAUUCAGACUUCCCUAGGUAUAGCAUAGCACUUGUCUUUGAUCUUUCAAUUUUUUCCAUUUAACCUCAAAAAUUUGUGGCUAAGUUAUUGUCACUUUCUAUCUAUAGGCAUGCGACCAUUGGUGGAUGAGAUUCGAUGGAAUGCCAUAAGAAAGAGGCCCACUAUUGAUGCGGAUCCAUCUCAAGGUCCGAAAAAAGACCCGACCCGAUGCUCCUUC